rnacentral:misc_RNA from 1 species
AUUCCACUCGUCGGUUCUUCAAUCCCAUUCAACCUGUUCCGCUCAAUGACCACCUUUGGUUUAGUUGCCCAACCACACUCUCCCUCCCGUUCAUCCUCAUGUUAACACUCAUCAACAAUUAUGGAGAACCCGUUAGACCAAACGGCCGACCACUUUCAGUUUAGAUACCCCUCUAGACCAGACGACAGCUAGUGAGCAUGAAGAACUCCCAUUGAUGACGAGUAAAAGCAAAUCCGGCAAGAAGCAAUGUUUUGGAAGGCGCGAUGUUGGUCGGCAACUUCAAUAUGGCUUUUUGUUGAUGGGUUUUCUUGCUGUUGGGUGGUGAUGAGGGAACUGGGUGUUGGAACCGAGUGUGAAGAAUGUGUUUUAUUGUUGAAUGUUCUUGAUAUUUUUCAUUUUUUUCAAGAUAUAGAUUGUUGAUUUGGGUUUGUUAAUGUUCUUCGAAUUUGGGUUUGUUGUAUUGAUAUUUUUUGUAUUUUCUGAAUUUUAUUUAUGGGUUUCAUUGUUUUGAUUUGUUGUAUUUUUAGAUUUUUGUUAUAAGUUGAAUUUUCUGAUUGGAUUUGAG